GGGCUGCAUGAUGUACAGGCUCCUAAACUUGAUGGAGCAUAUGCGCGCACAGUCGAGUCGUGCACUCGCGCUGUUGAGCCGUGGAAGUUACCAAAUGCCGACAAGUGCAGGGAGCCACCACCGCACCGGCACCACGUCGCCGUCACGGCACCACACCACACACCCCCAGCCCCGAUCAACUGCCCCCCGGCCUGGCCGAUCCACAACUGCUUAUAAACCCUUCGUCUUCCUCCUCCCACCUUCACCACCGCACCCUCGCCUCGCCUCCUUUCCGCCGGAGCGAGCGAGCGAGCGAUGGACCUCGACGACGACAUGAUGCCCUACUCCCCGUCCGGCGACUCCUCGCCGUCCUCCUCCGACCUGGACACCGAGGUUUUUCGUCGAAUUUCCUGGCUGGGUGCGGUCAGUUGCAGUUGCGCCGUUUUCUAUCUUGCGUGCGCUGACGAUGUUGUUAGUUUUGAUCUGUUGGCAGUCGACGGGGUCCUUCUUCCCGGACAGGAGCACGACGCUGGGGACGCUGAUGGGCGUGUCGGCGUUCGGGGGCGGCGCUGCGCAGCGGCGGAUGGCUCGCGCGCCGCCGGGGCAGGAGAGCGAGAGGCCGACGCGGGCGGCAACGGAGGAGCGAGACGGGCGGCGGGCGGGCGGGUGGCGACGGAGGAGGCGGCGGCGGAGG
rnacentral:lncRNA from 1 species